rnacentral:rRNA from 1 species
GACGAACGCUGGCGGCGUGCUUAACACAUGCAAGUCGAACGGUGAAGCGCCUUCCUUUUUGGUGGGUGUGGAUGAGUGGCGAACGGGUGAGUAACACGUGAGUAACCUGCCCCCUUCUUCUGGAUAACCGCAUGAAAGUGUGGCUAAUACGGGAUAUUCUGGGUCUGUCGCAUGAUGGGUCUGGGAAAGAUAUUGUUUCGGUGGGGGAUGGGCUCGCGGCCUAUCAGCUUGUUGGUGGGGUGAUGGCCUACCAAGGCGGUGACGGGUAGCCGGCCUGAGAGGGUGGACGGUCACACUGGGAAUGAGACACGGCCCAGACUCCUACGGGAGGCAGCAGUGGGGAAUAUUGCACAAUGGGCGCAAGCCUGAUGCAGCGACGCCGCGUGAGGGAUGGAGGCCUGCGGGUUGUGAACCUCUUUCGCCAGUGAAGCAGGCCUGCCUCGUUUGUGGGUGGGUUGACGGUAGCUGGAGAAGAAGCGCCGGCUAACUACGUG